UACGUAGGGUGCAAGCGUUAAUCGGAAUUACUGGGCGUAAAGCGUGCGCAGGCGGUUUUGUAAGUCAGAUGUGAAAUCCCCGGGCUUAACCUGGGAACUGCGUUUGAAACUACAAGGCUAGAGUGUGACAGAGGGGGGUGGAAUUCCACGUGUAGCAGUGAAAUGCGUAGAGAUGUGGAGGAACACCGAUGGCGAAGGCAGCCCCCUGGGUUAACACUGACGCUCAAGCACGAAAGCGUGGGGAGCAAACAGG
rnacentral:rRNA from 1 species